rnacentral:rRNA from 1 species
UACCUGCAGCUCAAGUGGUGACCACUAUUAUUGGGCCUAAAACGUUCGUAGCCGGUUUAUUAAAUGCUUGGGUAAAUCGUGUAGCUUAACUAUACGAAUUCCGGGUAGACUGAUAGACUUGAGACCGGGAGAAGCUAGAGGUACUCCUGGGGUAGAGGUGAAAUUCUGUAAUCCUGGGGGGACCACCAGUGGCGAAGGCGCCUAGCUAGAACGGGUCUGACGGUGAGGAACGAAGCCCUGGGGCGCAAACCGGAUUAGAUACCCGGGUAGCCCAGGGUGUAAACGCUGCUUGCUUGAUGUUAGUUGGGCUCCGAGCCCAAUUAGUGUCGGAGAGAAGUUGUUAAGCAAGCUGCCUGGGAAGUACGAUCGCAAGAUUGAAACUUAAAGGAAUUGGCGGGGGAGCACAGCAACGGGUGGAGCGUGCGGUUU